AUACCCUAUUAUUUUUAAUGUAAAGUUGAGUUUUGGAGCCUGAGUAUUAUUAGUUAUGAUCUUGAAACUUAAAGAAUUUGGCGGUAUUAUAGUCUAUUUAGAGGAAUCUGUUAUGUAAUCGAUAGUCCACGUUAAACCUUACUUGUAUUAUAGAUCCUGUAUACCGCUGUUUAAGAAUAUACUUUAAGGUUAUUUUCUUGAAAAAUUAAUAAUUGGGAUUUCAAGUCAAGGUGCAGAUAUAAACAAGAUAAAUAAUGGGUUACAAUAAAUUGUAUUUAUAUGGAUAGUUAAUGAAAUAAUAAUUUGAAGGUGGAUUUAAUUGUAAUUUUUUAAAGAUUAUAAAAAUGAUUAAUAGCUCUAUAAUAUGCACACAUCGCCC
rnacentral:rRNA from 1 species